rnacentral:rRNA from 1 species
CAAUAGCGUAUAUUAAAGUUGUUGCGGUAAAAAAGCUCGUAGUUGGAUUUCUGUUGCGAAUGGCCGGUCUUCACUACGUGAAUGUAUCUGGUUCAAUCGUGGCAUCCUCAUAGGAAACGUUGCUGCGCUUCACUGCGUGGUGCGGUGCCUAUGACUUUUACUUUGAGGAAAUUAGAGUGUUCACGGCAGGCAAUCGCCCUGAAUAUGUUAGCAUGGAAUAAUAAUAUAGGAUCUUGGUUCUAUUUUGUUGGUUUCUAGAGCUAAGAUAAUGGUUAAUAGGAACAAUUGGGGGCAUUUGUAUUAACAUGUCAGAGGUGGAAUUCUUGGAUUAUGUUACGACAAACUACUGCGAAAGCAUUUGCCAAGGAUGUUUUCAUUGAUCAAGAACGAAAGUAAGGGGAUCGAAGACGAUUAGAUACCAU